GCUAUGAUGCAUCUCGUUGUGUUGAUUGUCGAAAAUGAUAGCGCAUUGUCCUCUAAGAAGUUCUGAGCUU